rnacentral:lncRNA from 1 species
CCUGAGUCCGGAUCCACCUGCAAAUUGAUGCACUUCUAUAUUGGGCUUUUGGGUACUUGUUUAUUUGUGCAUUUUUUGACGUGUCGGAUUGCGCCUUUUUAUUUGCUUUCCACCUGUAUGCCUGUAUAUGAUCUGCAAAACACAACUUGCACUACAUGUGGAACUUGGUAAGCAUUUAAUAAGUAUAUGUGAGUAAAAUACAUGCUUUUCUUCCUUUGCAUGGACUAUGUUGGUGGGGUAAAUAUGUCAUUAAGAACCGCCAACAAACUCUCCCAAGCUUACCCCUUGCUCGUCCUCGAGCAAGAAGCUAAGAUCUUGGUUGUUGAUCAGGAGUUGCUACAAUAUUUUCACUUCUAUCCAGUACAUACGUUCAAACAAGAAUUCUCCUUUGAAUUUUGAACAGAUAUGUCAUGGGGCUUAUUGCUCAUACCUUGGGUCCUUAAGCAUUUGCACGAUGGAUUUGAUUAGAUCGAGCGCUAUGUCCCCAGUUCUUUACUUCACUUUUGUUCCGGAGUUUUUUUAUUUUCAAAACUUAGCACAUUUGUUUGUCAAAUUAAACAAUGGAUCCAAAGAGAAAGUUAAUCAUACCAUUGAAUUUUUUGAAAACUUUUUCUUUUCCAUCAUUCUAUUUUUGUCUAUUAGAGACACAUGGCUAUGUGGCUAAUUCUACUGUUGGGCACUUGCCCAUUUCUUUUUAUUUUGUCGAGGUUCUGGACACAUGUCCCUUUUUAUUUCCUCGUGAUCUUUCUUUUUGAGGUUUCGGACACAUGUCCCUUUUUAUUUCCUCGGAUGCUUUUUUUUCUGUUUCAUAGCCAUAUGCCUUCUAACAAACUUUUGAGAUGAUAACAUAAUGAAAUAUUUUUGUUUUCAAUGGUAUGAAAACCUCUCAAAGGGUCAACAAAGCUUAAUCUAACUCAAUGUGAUUAUUUUAUUUUUGUAAAAACUCCAGAACUCUAGCGUUGUUUAGAACAGGAUACUAGCAGCUUAGAUCAUCACAAAUAUAUCCAUUAAUUACUUUAGACUUUAGAUAGAGCAUUUUGCAACCCACGCAUUUAAUCAUUUCAUUAAUUUGGAGAAUUCAAGGUUGAAACUAGAUACUGGA